AGCAGCCGCGGUAAUUCCAGCUCCAAUAGCGUAUAUUAAAGUUGUUGCAGUUAAAAAGCUCGUAGUUGAAUUUCGGGAUUGGCGCAUCGGUCGUGCCUCACGGGGUAUGAACUGGUGCAGUCAAUUUCUCACCUUCUGGAGAACCGCGAUGUCCUUAAUUGGAUGCCGCGGGGAACCAGGACCUUUACUUUGAAAAAAUUAGAGUGUUUAAAGCAGGCAUUUUUGCUUGAAUACAUUAGCAUGGAAUAAUAAAAUAGGACGGCAUGGUUCUAUUUUGUUGGUUUCUAGGAUCACCGUAAUGAUUAAUAGGGAUAGUUGGGGGCAUUAGUAUUCAAUUGUCAGAGGUGAAAUUCUUGGAUUUAUUGAAGACUAACUACUGCGAAAGCAUUUGCCAAGGAUGUUUUCAUUAAUCAAGAACGAAAGUUAGGGGAUCGAAGACGAUCAGAUACCGUCGUAGUCUUAACCAUAAACUAUGCCGACUAGGAAUCAGACGAUGUUAAUUUUUUAAUGACUCGUUUGGCACCUUACG
rnacentral:rRNA from 1 species